rnacentral:ncRNA from 1 species
AAUAGACGUGUCGGGGGGCGGUUGUUCUGAGAUUAGACCGUCAAGACUUGAUCUGGAUAAUUCCGGCGCAAGGACAUGCUUCUCUUCCCCU